rnacentral:rRNA from 1 species
AUACGGAGGGUGCAAACGUUAAUCGGAAUUACUGGGCGUAAAGCGCGCGUAGGUGGUUUAGUAAGUCGGAUGUGAAAGCCCUGGGCUCAACCUGGGAAUUGCAUUCGAUACUGCUUGACUAGAGUAUGGUAGAGGGAAGUGGAAUUUCCGGUGUAGCGGUGAAAUGCGUAGAUAUCGGAAGGAACACCAGUGGCGAAGGCGACUUUCUGGGCCAAUACUGACGCUGAGGUGCGAAAGCGUGGGGAGCAAACAGGAUUAGAUACCCCAGUAGUCC